AAGCAUCUGUUAGCAAGGGCCGGGCAAGACCGGUGCCAGCCGCCGCGGUAACACCGGCGGCCCGAGUGGUAACCGCUAUUAUUGGGUCUAAAGGGUCUGUAGCCGGCCAGGUAAGUCCCUUGGGAAAUCUGGCAGCUCAACUGUCAGGCUGCUAGGGGAUACUGUUUGGCUUGGGACCGGGAGAGGUGAGAGGUACCUUGGGGGUAGGGGUGAAAUCUUGUGAUCCUCGAGGGACCACCAGUGGCGAAGGCGUCUCACCAGAACGGGUCCGACGGUAAGGGACGAAAGCUAGGGGCACGAACCGGAUUAGAUACCCGGGUAGUCCUAGCCGUAAACGAUGCUCGCUAGGUGUCAGUCACGGUGCGACCGUGAUUGGUGCCGUAGGGAAGCCGUGAAGCGAGCCACCUGGGAAGUAUGGCCGCAAGGCUGAAACUUAAAGGAAUUGGCGGGGGAGCACAACAACGGGUGGAGCCUGCGGUUUAAUUGGAUUCAACGCCGGAAAUCUCACCGGGGGCGACAGCGAUAUGAAGGUCAGGCUGAAGACUUUACCGGAUUAGCUGAGAGGUGGUGCAUGGCCGUCGUCAGUUCGUACUGUGAAGCAUCCUGUUAAGUCAGGUAACGAGCGAGACCCA
rnacentral:rRNA from 1 species